AAAAAAGUAUACUAAAAAGAAAAAAUAUAGACAUAACGUGAUUAUUAUGGUUUUGACCGUAAUGGUAAAAUAGAAUAAAACUAAGAAAGGAAAUUUGGAAUGAUGGUGUGAGGUCACAAUUGAUACUUGAGUGGAGUGGCACUGGCAAAAGAAAGUUUGUAAGUGUUAAUACGAAAGUAAGCAAUGGAGUCAGGUGAGAGGUGGCAAGAAAGAGAGGAGAAGGGAAGGAGCGGAGGAGUAGGUUUGUCCACUAGUAGUAAAGAAUGGCUCAAAAUGAAGCCUUUGGUCAAACUUAGGAUUUGUUUGGCAAUAUUAGUUGUUAUGGUAGCUAUUAGCUGUUUUAGUAAUUAUUAGCUGUUUUACUAGUUGUUCGUUGUUAGUGUUUAGUUGUUUUACUAGUUGUUCAUUGUUUAUAUAGUGGUUUAAAUAUAAAAAUAGUGAUAUCAUCUUUUUUACUAUAGUCAAAAUACUCUCUCAACCUUUAAAGUUAGAAGGGGUGGUAACGUUCUAUGAAUUACUCACUCAUCCCUUAAAUACUUGUAUAAAUAUUAUGCAGCCAAAUGAUAUAAAUAAGAAAGAGCGCUGACACUCAUUGUUGAUAAGGCAAAAUUAGUUAAGAGGAGUUAAAAUACUGAACGUUACCUUAAAAGCUAUUACUGAACAUGGCCUUGAAAGCCAUGUCAAAUCUUCACGUGCUCUAUCGUGCAUGUAUAGACAUUCAUUGCUGAUAGGUAAAAUUGUGUUUAUUGUUAUGGAAUUUACAAGUUUAACGUGUACUAGGCUUCUUGAAAAGUUUAGGGGUAUGAUAGGUUAAAUCGAAUAAAUUUGGAGUUGCAAAUAUGCAUUUGGUGAAAUGUCAGCUAAUGGCUACUGAACUUAAAUCAAUUUUAAUACUUAAAUAAAGGUAAUUGUCCAUGUAUAUAUGUUGUUUUCUUAAAAGAUUAAAGAGUCCUUUGGUUGAGCUAUCAAUUGAUAGCUAAUAAAAGUUAAUCAUUUAAUAAAGCUUUGCUAUCUAUUGUUGUUGAUAUAUGAGAUUACCAAUUUAACAUUAAAAGGCACAAUUGUGAUGAAAAAUAAAAAAUGAUAACCUAUACAAAACACAAUUCUGGUUUGGGUUUUUAACUGCUCUUUGUCUGUGUGUUGCUAUAGGGGUUGCAUCUCUUUUGUUGCAUAGGGGUUGCAUCUCUUUUGUCUCUUUGCCAUGCUGAAUUCCUAGCUUCUUUACAUAAUAAAAUUAUUUUUUUGCUCGUACAAAAAAAAGACGGCAGUUAUUCUGAACAUUUUUACUAGCGUAGUAGUUAUUUUAAACAUUUCUUAUAAUAUUUUACUGACUACUUAUUCUGCAAAUUAUAAAUAUUGUGAAGCACCUGAGAAAUUAUUUUGGAAAAAGGAAGAAAUUUAUUAUUGUUUUAAUAAGGAUUUGUUAGUCCAAAUAUAAAUAUUGAAGAAUUUUUUUUUUUUGAAUUGGUUAAGAACACAAGCAUGCACACAGAACAGGAAGCCACACCUCCUCUGAUAAAAUCAUGACAAUUUUGUCAAAAUAUGCUAAGCCUUAUAUCCUCUACAUAUUCGCAGUCCACAAAUAUAAAUAUUGAAUAAAUUAUUAGUUGGCAGGAAAUGUUUCAAAAUGAAAAUUUUUAUAUUUAGCAACUAUUUAGUGUUUUGUGUAGGAUUAGUAGUCUAGUAGUCGAGUGCCUAAUUCAUAGUGCAAGAGAUUAGGGUUCCAACCUUGACAAUCUCCAACCCUAAUUUAAUUUUCUUUUUUUAAUGGUCUACUGCUGCUGCUCCUAGGGUGUUAAAUUCAGUUUCCUUCCUCAAUUUUUCUAAUUUUCUCACUUUCUUAGGAAAAGCAGAGUAAAGAAGGAGAAAAAAAUAACCAACCUUGGACACCAAAACUAAUCUCAGUUACAUUCCCUCUAGAUGGUGGAUUUAAUGAGAGAAACUGAGGUGGAAACCUGAGUGUUGGGAUUACUUGCAAGAGUCCUCAACGCCUUUGGCCAUUCUCCCUUAUAAUGAGAUCCAAUUCACUACUCCAUUGAUUGCAAUUGUGGACAUGCGUAUUCAUCCAAGUAGUGCAUUAUCAAAAAUUAUAAAGCAGUCUAUCGAUUUCCGUAUGCUGGUGGAAGAAUCCGUUCAUUCCCUCCAAUAUUGAAAGCUGGAGUAAAAUCAACCAGUGUGUUGGUAUCAGAGACUCAAUUGACCCAAAUUAAAUGUUAUGAUAGAUUAAUUGCUUGCCCAAAGGUUGUGUUUAGAUUCAUGUAUUUGGAUUUGGAUUUUGAAUUUUAAAUAUUUGAUUUAAAAUUUAGAAUUUAAAGUUCAUAAAUUUACAAAAUAUCUUAUUCGGCUAAUAAAAAAUUUAAUUUUUAAAUUUAAAAUGGAGGUCUGUAUUCAAUAGAAAAAAUUUAUUAGGUAGAAUUGGAAUUAUAA
rnacentral:misc_RNA from 1 species